GUGCCACCAACACCUAAAA
rnacentral:snRNA from 1 species